GCUGAUUUAUCCGUUUUGGCGAAAGGAAAACCCUAAUUUCGUGCAGAAAACCCCUUCAGCUAUUUCCCGAUCGAGCUUUCGUCCAUGCCCGACGCAAGGAUCGAAAUCGGGCAUCAGAAUGAUUAUUUAUUCGACGAAGGAGUUCGAUUCCUGGCUCUCUCGCUCGCUCUCUGUCUUUUUUUUUCCUAAGAUCCCAAUUCGGAGUAACGAGCGGUCGGACUAGAUUGGGAUGAAUCGAACGUUUUCUGGAGGAGUGACCGACGAUUGCAGAGAUGCGUAGGGCGUUGCAAACAGUGCUGUGUGAUCAUGAACAAUAUCAACAACCAUCAGGGACCGAGCCAAGACAUGCCACAGCAAUGUGGCUUGGAGAUGGUCUGAAAACUUCCAUGCGCCUAUCAAAGUCUAUUUGCAGUGUUCGAAGUAUGCCUCUGAUGUUGUGCUGCAAGCAUUAAAGUCCACUCCAUAACCUCUGGUUUGAGUUCAGGAAAGCUGUAAACUGCUUUAAUAGGUGCAUGCAUCUUAGGCGAUCGACUCCACUUUCUUGUGUCCACUUGAUCUUAUAGUGCAGUUUUGUCGCCUUCUUUUCUGC